rnacentral:rRNA from 1 species
AGUGAACGCUGGCGGUAGACCUAACACAUGCAAGUCGAACGGCAGCACAGUAAGAGCUUGCUCUUACGGGUGGCGAGUGGCGGACGGGUGAGGAAUACAUCGGAAUCUACUUUUUCGUGGGGGAUAACGUAGGGAAACUUACGCUAAUACCGCAUACGACCUACGGGUGAAAGCAGGGGAUCUUCGGACCUUGCGCGAUUGAAUGAGCCGAUGUCGGAUUAGCUAGUUGGCGGGGUAAAGGCCCACCAAGGCGACGAUCCGUAGCUGGUCUGAGAGGAUGAUCAGCCACACUGGAACUGAGACACGGUCCAGACUCCUACGGGAGGCAGCAGUGGGGAAUAUUGGACAAUGGGCGCAAGCCUGAUCCAGCCAUACCGCGUGGGUGAAGAAGGCCUUCGGGUUGUAAAGCCCUUUUGUUGGGAAAGAAAAGCAGCAGGUUAAUACCCCGCUGUUCUGACGGUACCCAAAGAAUAAGCACCGGCUAACUUCGCG